AUUGAACGCUGGCGGCAUGAUUUACACAUGCAAGUCGUACGGUAACAGGCCGCAAGGUGCUGACGAGUGGCGAACGGGUGCGUAAUGCAUCGGAACGUGCCCAGUCGUGGGGGAUAACUACUCGAAAGAGUAGCUAAUACCGCAUACGAUCUAUGGAUGAAAGCGGGGGACCGUAAGGCCUCGCGCGAUUGGUGCGGCCGAUGUCAGAUUAGGUAGUUGGUGGGGUAAAGGCUCACCAAGCCAACGAUCUGUAGCUGGUCUGAGAGGACGACCAGCCACACUGGGACUGAGACACGGCCCAGACUCCUACGGGAGGCAGCAGUGGGGAAUUUUGGACAAUGGGCGCAAGCCUGAUCCAGCAAUGCCGCGUGCAGGAAGAAGGCCUUCGGGUUGUAAACUGCUUUUGUACGGAACGAAACGGCUCUGGUUAAUACCCGGGGAUAAUGACGGUACCGUAAGAAUAAGCACCGGCUAACUACGUG
rnacentral:rRNA from 1 species